CACGCUGUAAACGAUGAUGACUAGCUGCCGGCGAUACACUGUCGGUGGCCCAGCGAAAGCGAUAAGUCAUCCACCUGGGGAGUACGACCGCAAGGUUGAAACUCAAAGGAAUUGACGGGGGCCCGCACAAGCGGAGGAACAUGUGGUUUAAUUCGAUGAUACGCGAGGAACCUUACCCGGGCUCGAACGGCAGACGACUUAUACAGAGACGUAUAUUCCCUUCGGGGCGUCUGUCGAGGUGC
rnacentral:rRNA from 1 species